rnacentral:rRNA from 1 species
CAGUAGCCACGGGAACACGGAGGGAGCUAGCGUUAUUCGGAAUUACUGGGCGUAAAGCGCACGUAGGCGGCUUUGUAAGUUAGAGGUGAAAGCCUGGAGCUCAACUCCAGAAUUGCCUUUAAGACUGCAUCGCUCGAAUCCAGGAGAGGUGAGUGGAAUUCCGAGUGUAGAGGUGAAAUUCGUAGAUAUUCGGAAGAACACCAGCGGCGAAAGCGGCUCACUGGACCAUAACUGACGCUGAGGCGCGAAAGCUAGGGGAGCAAACAGGAUUAGAUACCCGAGUAGUCCCUGUCUCUUAUAA